rnacentral:rRNA from 1 species
UACGUAGGGCGCAAGCGUUGUCCGGAAUUAUUGGGCGUAAAGAGCUCGUAGGCGGUCUGUCGCGUCGGAUGUGAAAGCCCGGGGCUUAACCCCAGGUCUGCAUUCGAUACGGGCAGACUAGAGUGUGGUAGGGGAGAUCGGAAUUCCUGGUGUAGCGGUGAAAUGCGCAGAUAUCAGGAGGAACACCGGUGGCGAAGGCGGAUCUCUGGGCCAUUACUGACGCUGAGGAGCGAAAGCGUGGGGAGCGAACAGG